GUGUGGCGGCACGGCGAGAAAUGAGUGAAUGAGUGGUGGUGGAGGUACAAAAACUGUGGCAGCGAGAACAAUCGGUGGCGGUGACGUCAAAGAUAGGCGGACACGACGGCGACGCUGGAGGCAGCGAAAGUGAGAAGGGAGGAGGCUCAGCCACGAGUGGGAGAAAUGGAACAGUAGGUUUGCGAGAGGGAGAAGUGAAAAUUGUUUGCAUAAAUGAAACCUACUGUGUUUCUAGUAGUAAAUAAAUGAUAUUACCUUAGUUAAAGUUAACAACCAAGGUAGUAACGUUAUACCGCAUUGGUUAAAUGUAUAAUGAAUGCCUAUUCCCUUUAGAAAAUGGAAAGAAAGACUCGGUUCACUAGAAAACCGAGGUAGUAUCUCUGUGUCAGAUGGAAAGUCUGG
rnacentral:lncRNA from 1 species